AUUGAACGCUGGCGGCAGGCUUAACACAUGCAAGUCGAGCGAGCGGCGGACGGGUGAGUAAUGUCUGGGAAACUGCCUGAUGUAGGGGGAUCACUACUGGAAACGGUAGCUAAUACCGCAUACCAUCAGAUGUGCCCAGAUGGGAUUAGCUAGUCGGUGGGGUAAUGGCUCACCUAGGCGACGAUCCCUAGCUGGUCUGAGAGGAUGCCCAGCCACACUGGAACUGAGACACGGUCCAGACUCCUACGGGAGGAAGCAGUGGGGAAGAGUGCACAAUGGGCGAAAGCCGGAUGCAGCCAUGCCGCGUGUGUGAAGAAGGCCUUCGGGUUGUAAAGCACUUUCAGCGAGGAGGCGUUACUCGCAGAAGAAGCACCGGCUAACGCCGUGCCAGCAGCCGCGGUAAUUC
rnacentral:rRNA from 1 species